GACGAACGCUGGCGGCGUGCUUAACACAUGCAAGUCGAACGGUGAACGAGGGAGCUUGCUCCCUCCGGAACAGUGGCGAACGGGUGAGUAACACGUGUGCAAUCUGCCCCGCACUCUGGGAUAAGCGUUGGAAACGACGUCUAAUACCGGAUACGACGCGGCAGGGCAUCCUCUCCGCGUGGAAAGAACUCCGGUUCGGGAUGAGCUCGCGGCCUCUCAGCUUGUUGGUGGGGUAACGGCUCACCAAGGCGACGACGGGUACCCGGCCUGAGAGGGUGACGGGCACCACUGGGAUGGAGAAACGGCCCAGACUCCUACGGGGGGAAGCGGGGGGGAAUAUGGCAAAAGGGGCGCAAGCCGGAUGCAGAACCGCGGCGUGGGGGACGACGGCCUUCGGGUGGUAAACCUCUUUGAGCAGGGAAGAAGCGAAAGGGACGGAACCUGUAGAAAAAGCACGGGCUACUUACGU
rnacentral:rRNA from 1 species